AUUGAACGCUGGCGGCAUGCCUUACACAUGCAAGUCGAACGGCAGCACGGAGCUUGCUCUGGUGGCGAGUGGCGAACGGGUGAGUAAUAUAUCGGAACGUACCCUAGAGUGGGGGAUAACGUAGCGAAAGUUACGCUAAUACCGCAUACGAUCUAAGGAUGAAAGUGGGGGAUCGCAAGACCUCAUGCUCGUGGAGCGGCCGAUAUCUGAUUAGCUAGUUGGUAGGGUAAAAGCCUACCAAGGCAUCGAUCAGUAGCUGGUCUGAGAGGACGACCAGCCACACUGGAACUGAGACACGGUCCAGACUCCUACGGGAGGCAGCAGUGGGGAAUUUUGGACAAUGGGCGAAAGCCUGAUCCAGCAAUGCCGCGUGAGUGAAGAAGGCCUUCGGGUUGUAAAGCUCUUUUGUCAGGGAAGAAACGGUGAGAGCUAAUAUCUCUUGCUAAUGACGGUACCUGAAGAAUAAGCACCGGCUAACUACGUGCCAGCAGCCGCGGUAAUACGUAGGGUGCAAGCGUUAAUCGGAAUUACUGGGCGUAAAGCGUGCGCAGGCGGUUUUGUAAGUCUGAUGUGAAAUCCCCGGGCUCAACCUGGGAAUUGCAUUGGAGACUGCAAGGCUAGAAUCUGGCAGAGGGGGGUAGAAUUCCACGUGUAGCAGUGAAAUGCGUAGAUAUGUGGAGGAACACCGAUGGCGAAGGCAGCCCCCUGGGUCAAGAUUGACGCUCAUGCACGAAAGCGUGGGGGAGCAAACAGGAUUAGAUACCCUGGUAGUCCACGCCCUAAACGAUGUCUACUAGUUGUCGGGUCUUAAUUGACUUGGUAACGCAGCUAACGCGUGAAGUAGACCGCCUGGGGAGUACGGUCGCAAGAUUAAAACUCAAAGGAAUUGGCGGGGACCCGCACAAGCGGUGGAUGAUGUGGAUUAAUUCGAUGCAACGCGAAAAACCUUACCUACCCUUGACGUGGCUGGAAUCCUUGAGAGAUCAGGGAGUGCUCGAAAGAGAACCAGUACACAGGUGCUGCAUGGCUGUCGUCAGCUCGUGUCGUGAGAUGUUGGGUUAAGUCCCGCAACGAGCGCAACCCUUGUCAUUAGUUGCUACGAAAGGGCACUCUAAUGAGACUGCCGGUGACAAACCGGAGGAAGGUGGGGAUGACGUCAAGUCCUCAUGGCCCUUAUGGGUAGGGCUUCACACGUCAUACAAUGGUACAUACAGAGCGCCGCCAACCCGCGAGGGGGAGCUAAUCGCAGAAAGUGUAUCGUAGUCCGGAUUGUAGUCUGCAACUCGACUGCAUGAAGUUGGAAUCGCUAGUAAUCGCGGAUCAGCAUGUCGCGGUGAAUACGUUCCCGGGUCU
rnacentral:rRNA from 1 species